UAUUCAUGUUUCUGUGACAUACCAUGUAACUUAAAUUUUGCACAUAGUUCUGUUUUUUCCACAAGAAUGGUGUAUAACUUCAGUAUUAAAAGAUUUUUUUUUUUUCUUGAUUCCUAAAUGUUUCCUUUUAUGAUAUUCUGCUGACUAAAAGCUUACUAUUUUGAAUAGUCCAUCUUCUGGUAACUUGCAUACUGGGGGAAAAAACACUAGCUUUAAAGAGUGAAAACUUGAAGUGUUUUGCAAUAUUGAGCUAGAAUAUUGUGCUGUCUAGUCCAGUAUUUGGUCUUUAAUCACGACUGCUAUUUCAGAUAGGGAAGUAAAGGAGUAAAAGAACUGUAAUCAAAGCUCUUAGUGAAAUACCUUGCUUAUAAAAAAAAAAAAUAUCUCUGUUUAUAGGUUAUCUUGUACCCUGAAGGAUGAUUCUUUAUAUCCUUGCUUGUUUUUGUUAAUUACUUCUCCAAAGGCUUAUAAUGCUAUAGUAAAGUAAAUAUCCAGUUUUUCUCUGGAAUUUUGCUGAUCUCUUUUACUUAGUUCAUGUGGCAGCAACGUUCACAGGCUAAACUGUAUUUAUAAGUGUAAUGCAUAUUUAAAAUGAAAGGCUUUUUAGGCGUUGUCUUUAUUUAAAUGACAGAAAAUUUUGUCAUAUAUUGUAUAUUCAUUUUUAUGCAUCUCUCUUCGUGGGAAAGCUGUUUGUGCUUGUGUUACGUUCAUUCUUUAAACUUCAUUUAUGUCUAUUAAGUUUUUUUAGACAUGCAGUGACCAAAAGAAAAUACUCUGUUUUUGAGGGUGUGUGUUCAAUAAUCAACAUUCAAUCAAUUCAGUAGUAUGAAAAACUUCUGAUAGCAUCAUAACCCUUUCUUCUGGACAGUAAUGAGUUUAUACUGGUUCUACUCCUGUAAUGAAGUAAGUUCUUGUACAGCUUCUAGCUUGAAGCUAAAGGCUUAAUAAGUUGCAACAAACAGCACUAACUUAGGUGACUAAAAUAUGCAUUUUUCUUCAUGCAGAAAACAAACUUCCAUAUAUGUUAUUAAAAUGGUUGUUAAAUACUUUAACUUUGGUACCAGUUUUAUUUAAAAUGAUGAACCCAUAUAAAAGGCUGAAAAAAAAGCACUGUUACUUGCAUUAUUAAAGAAGGCUUAGAUUGCAUAAAUUCUCAUGAAAAUGUAUGAACCGUGAUAAAUCUGCUGUUAGAAAAUGCAAAUAUCCACAGCAAUGUUUCCUGUUAAAACAUGGUGUCAGAUUCCUAUUCUGUUGUUUGCAAUAAUUUGGUCUGUGCUCAGCUCUUGGCACAGCUGCUCUGGAAGUUGAACCGAAGUUUAGAAGUCCAUCUUGAUUAGUUUGUAACUUCUAAGAUAAUACUCGCUUUAGAAGAAGAGGGAAAGGUUUUGCUUGCCUGUUGUUAUAUUUCUUUUUCAGGAACUUUGAAAUUUGUGAGAAACCUUGCUUUCAUGUAUUCUCUUGAUACCUAGUCACAAGGUUUUCUUGCUUUAGAGAUGUACUCUUUGGUCUCUUCUGAUUCAGUAGCUGUGCAGCUUUUCUUAGUUGAAAUGGUCGGUAUUUUUGAGCAAAACCCUUAGACUAGGCUUUCACUAAGUGGAAUUUUCAAAAUGUGUUUAAACUGAACUUAGUCUUCUUUAGAGCUAACAUUACUGGUAGGGUAAAAAUGUGUGUUUAAGCAUGGAGGUUUUUUUUAAGCAGGUCUUUCUAUGGAUUCAUAAUUAAAAUGUUUUAACAUUUACUUCUGUUGUGUUGAUUGCUCUCAUUUUGUUUUCCAUCCUUGAGUAAUUUAGUCGUCCUGCAUAUGUCCAAUUCAUGAGCCAGUGUAUCUAGCAGCUAGUUUGGAAAACUAAUUAAAUAGGAUGAAGGCAGUAAAAAGGCUGGAAGUCAGCUGACACCAGAAGGGGUGGAAGAAAGCAGAAGUGGAAUACAAAGCGCUGACUUGUCUUGCUGCAGGGAAGUGAUGAGCUGACUGUCAGAGGGUGAUUAAGUCUGUUAGACUGUACAGCUGCGUAGCGUCUUGGCUAGGCAGGAGUACUUCUGAAGACUUCCCUUAAACUGCUGUGUCAAAGUGUCCAGGAGUUGCAGCUGUGAGCAGUGUAAAUUUUUCUUGAACUUGUUAGCUCCUUCUGCUUCAGUAGGCAGGUAUGGCUUGGAGAACAGCAAGCUCAAGUAUGGAGUCUUCCUGGAUAACCUUAAUUUAAAAAAAAUAAUUAAAAAAAAAAAAGUUGAAGCCUGUUUUCGCCUGAUGGGAGUCUUUGGAUGCAUAGCAACUUGUUAAAGGUUUGAAUCGGGUUGUGACCUGUAUUCAGAUGUUUGUUCCAUCUCCUGUGCGGGCAUGAAUGCUUAGUGAGUUUUGGCGAAAAACGUUCAACAGCUUUUGGUCAGAGAGGUAAUGCUAUUAUAAAGUUGACACAUUAUUGGAUGGCUAAUGUUGGUGAAGCGUUUGAGAUCUAAAUGGUGUGUCUUAAAUGUGGGUGUAGUCUGCAUGGUAUAGGUAAGAUUUAACUUUACCACAGAUACUUUUUCUUCAUAGUACAGGAUGAAAUGGGUUUCAUGAUAGUCUGGUGGCCUGACCAGUUACUCUGCCAGAAUGUUAUGAUGCCUGUCGUCAGAGAUAAGAUUGAUUGCAUCUGUACAUAGGUGCUUCUUUUUUAAAAUAAACCAAAUAACUAUUUAUUUAUUACAUUUUUUGAGCAACCUGUAAGUGAAGGCACUUAAGUACUUCUGACUUGGGUCCAGUAGAGGGCACUUAGGGCUAUUCUGAUAUCUUUAUACCUCAAAAUGGUGACAAUUUUUUUCGUAUCUGUGUUUUUUUGGUUACCUCUCUCUGUAAGUAUUGUUAACAUUUAAAAAUGAAGAUCUUAAUUUAAGAUUUAACAAAUGAACAGUCAAAAACAUUUAGCUAUGGAUGCUAUGUUAGCAUCUGGUUACUGCUUUUGCGCUUGGUGUCCAGAGCACUAAAAAGUGUUUGACAAGUUUGUGCUUGCAAGUAAACUGCUUUGCAUCCACAGGAAAGCUCAUUAUAAAGUAUGCCUUUACUUGCAGAAAUUCUGAGUAGUUGAAUGCAUGGGUAUUCAUGGAUGCCUAAUUUACAUAGGCAAUUUGUAUUACCAAAAUAGCCGUGCGUUACCCUUUAGCAGUAUGCAUUUCAAAUAGUUUGUCUUAAGUCUAACCCAUUUCAGCUGUGUUUCUGCUGGAAGCAGGGUAAGUUUCCACAAACCUGUUCACAAGUCUCUUGGCACUAUAGAAAGUCUUCGCAAUUCUCCUUGGCUUGUAGUCUGCCACCUAAGUUUUUCAUUGUACUGUCUCAGCAUGUCAGUACUUUCCUUAUUAAGGAGCUGAUAGAAAUUAAUUAUUAUUCUUACGUAUUUUUAAAUUUAACAUUGUAAAAUGUGUUUCCAUAUGUGUUCACUAGAUGGCAGCAGAUUCCGUAACUAAUUGUAAGAAUGAAACAAACAUUCUGUUCAAAUGGUGUGGGUAUUCUGGUACUUUAAAGUGCAAAUAAAUGUGAUACUGUAUUUAAGAUUAAAAUACUAAUUGUUAGUGUGUGUAACUUGAUUUAAUGUACAGCUAAUGUUAUAGUCCUCUUAAAAAGACUUAAGGCGUACUUCUCAGAACUGUUUCAAGGCUGAAUAUGGAGGAUGACAUUUGAGGCUUGAAUUUCAUCCCACUUGUUUUGAUUAAGCAUCUUCAGAUUGCAGCUUUAUUUAUAUUCUCUACUUGCAUUUUGUAUUAUUUGUUAUAAAAUACACGUGUAUCAUGAGUGGAGUGUGAUACUAAAAUAGCUUGUAUUAUUUAUCUAAAAAUAUGUAAUUGUGAGUCAGAGCUUGUCAAGUGAAAACGCUUUCCUGUGAUAAAGCACUUUCUUUUGGGGGAGGAAGGAAACAAACAUAAUUUGUGAUGUGUAGACUUUUAAAAGUAAUUAUUAAAAUCUGUUCAAAAUGACAUUUACAUUUUUGAUACUGGCCUGAGUUUACUCUUGCACUUCUGUCAUACCUGCUUGUUGCAUUUGGCAGUUAUGAAGAAAAGUAACUUUGGGCUGAAGUCUUCUCUUCUAACAGCA